AUCUGUUCACAUCUUACCGGGCAGCAUUAGAUCCUUUUUAUAACUCUAAUACUGUCAGGUAAAGAUGUCGUCCGU
rnacentral:pre_miRNA from 15 species